rnacentral:rRNA from 1 species
UACGUAGGGGGCAAGCGUUGUCCGGAAUCAUUGGGCGUAAAGCGCGCGUAGGCGGCCCGGUAAGUCCGUUGUGAAAGUCAAGGGCUCAACCCUUGAAUGCCGGUGGAUACUGCAGGGCUAGAGUCCGGAAGAGGCGAGUGGAAUUCCUGGUGUAGCGGUGAAAUGCGCAGAUAUCAGGAGGAACACCGAUGGCGAAGGCAGCUCGCUGGGACGGUACUGACGCUGAGGCGCGAAAGCGUGAGGAGCAAACAGG